GCCAGGAUGUUGGCUUAGAAGCAGCCAUCAUUUAAAGAAAGCGUAAUAGCUCACUGGUCGAGUCGGCCUGCGCGGAAGAUGUAACGGGGCUAAGUAGUAAACCGAAGCUGCGGCAAUAUACUUUUGUAUAUUGGGUAGGGGAGCGUUCUGUAAGCGGUUGAAGGUGUGUGGUAACGCAUGCUGGACGUAUCAGAAGUGCGAAUGCUGACAUGAGUAACGAUAAAGGGGGUGAAAAACCUCCUCGCCGGAAGACCAAGGGUUCCUGUCCAACGUUAAUCGGGGCAGGGUAAGUCGACCCCUAAGGCGAGGCCGAAAGGCGUAGUCGAUGGGAAACGGGUUAAUAUUCCCGUACUUCUUACAAUUGCGAUGGGGGGACGGAGAAGGCUAGGUGGGCCUGGCGACGGUUGUCCAGGUUCAAGUGCGUAGGCUUAAGAGUUAGGUAAAUCCGGCUCUUUCUAAGGCUGAGACACGACGUCGAGCACCUACGGGUGUGAAGUCA
rnacentral:rRNA from 1 species